AAGCAGUUAAUCAUAAGAGAAUCUGUCCAUCCUCCAGAAAUGAAUGCAAAUGUAUAAAAGGUCUGACUAUAUAGAUACAUCCAUGAAUCUUUUUGGAGCCUACAGAAGAAGGAAAUAAACUUGACUUGUAUGAAACAAUUGCCGGUAACUGCAUUGUUAGAUGGCCAAAGACGUUGCACUAUGACUAUUCCCAUAUUGUUAAUCUGGUUUUCCUUUCCUUCCUGAAGGAUGGAUUGCAUAAUGAACUCUCCUAGCCAUUAUGUUUGAUGGAGGGUGAGAGCCAGCAGACGGAUGCAUCACCCACGUUGCCAAGAGCUGGCAGAUGGAAGUAAGAAAAACCUGCCCCCAAAGAGGGAACAGAUGUUUGUAAGUUGUAAGAUAGGGUUAGAAUUCAUCUUGUCCUAUUGGCGUUUAUCCAAGUACUAAUUAGAUCCAGUCUUGCUUAGGUUUUUGUUUGUUUAUUUGUUUGUUUGUCUAGAUCAGCCACAGUUGGAGGGUGGUGAUUUUAGAGUUCAGAGGAAAGGGGCCACUGAGAUAAUUGGGAUUAAAUGAAGUUGAUGAGAUCUUGAAGAAGAGAGAGGUGAGAAUGUUAAAGGACAAAAAGCAAUGCAUUAAGUCAUCUGUGGAUCGGAUAGAAGCAAGGAUGAUUUGCAAGGAAUUAAAAUAGAAGACUGGAGAGCGUUGCUGUAAACUAGAUUGAGUUAGUUUUCUUAUUCCUUGCCUAUUUCCUUUUGCUUCCUUCUUUUUUUUCUUUCUUUCCUUUUUCUGCACUUUGCAUAGUGUUGUUUAUCUGGAAAGGAGACAGAAGGAGGGGUAGGUUUCUGUGUACACUCACCCUAAUGAACAGGAACAGUUCCGAAAUGUGGAAGGACUGGUUUAGCACAUUUGAAGUAAAAGAGGCCAUUCAGGUUCCUGUAUCAUCUAAGGAACCUCUCUUCCCUUAAAACUCUUUGGAAUGCUGCAGCCAAUCCUGGCUGAUCUCAAGCAAGCUAAGCAGACUUGGACCUUCUUAGUAUCUGGACGGGAGACCACCAGAAAAAUCCAAGUUUGCAGACCAGACUGGGUAUAUCACUUCCAAACAUUGUCAAGGAAACUGACAUCACCAAGGCUUGACCCAAGAAGGUUUAUAUCUUCAAUGACUAUUAGAAGCUACAAAAGGGUGUACAGCAUGCGUACAAUUAUUCAACCCAAUUAAAAUCCCUUAAUUACUAAAAAAUAAUAAAAUUGUUAAUGAUGAACUCAUCGCUGUGGGUAUGCUAUUCAGUAGCUGAUAUUCUCCUCUUCUAAUUCACGUUAGGGUGGUGGUUUUCUCCCCAACUCCACCUACCCAUCCAGAGGAAAACAGAACUGUGAUUACUUUCAUGUUCUGGCCCUGUGCAAAUUUCUGGUUCACGUGCUCCCAAGACCUUCCCCUUCGUCAUGGUGGAAUGCUUCUUCCUGGUUGCCAAGGGAUGUGGUCUGUGAUAUGAGAGAAGGCAGGAGAUCCGAAGCUGCCGUUUUCCUGUCUCGCUUCCAAAACCGCACAUCUAAUCUUCUUAAUCCGAAUUUUCCAGCACUAAAGAAAGACACGAAAGGCAUAAUCCGGGUCAGAAAAAAAUGGGAGACUGAUAUUGGGCAAAGCAUAGCUGAGAUCUUUUUGCUAGCUGCCAAUCCGCUGAGUGAAAGUUUCGAUCUCUGCUAAUUUGGGCGGAAGGCAAGUUUUGGAGACCCCCAGUUUCUCUCUCUGGAGCCUUGACGAUUAAACCGGUAUAAAAUGGUGAAGAAGAUCUCAGUACAGAUACAUGCAGUAUCCCCGUCAU